rnacentral:rRNA from 1 species
AAAUUGAAGAGUUUGAUCAUGGCUCAGAUUGAACGCUGGCGGCAGGCCUAACACAUGCAAGUCGAACGGUAGCACAGAGAGCUUGCUCUCGGGUGACGAGUGGCGGACGGGUGAGUAAUGUCUGGGAAACUGCCUGAUGGAGGGGGAUAACUACUGGAAACGGUAGCUAAUACCGCAUAACGUCGCAAGACCAAAGAGGGGGACCUUCGGGCCUCUUGCCAUCAGAUGUGCCCAGAUGGGAUUAGCUAGUAGGUGGGGUAACGGCUCACCUAGGCGACGAUCCCUAGCUGGUCUGAGAGGAUGACCAGCCACACUGGAACUGAGACACGGUCCAGACUCCUACGGGAGGCAGCAGUGGGGAAUAUUGCACAAUGGGCGCAAGCCUGAUGCAGCCAUGCCGCGUGUAUGAAGAAGGCCUUCGGGUUGUAAAGUACUUUCAGCGGGGAGGAAGGUGUUGAGGUUAAUAACCUCAGCAAUUGACGUUACCCGCAGAAGAAGCACCGGCUAACUCCGUGCCAGCAGCCGCGGUAAUACGGAGGGUGCAAGCGUUAAUCGGAAUUACUGGGCGUAAAGCGCACGCAGGCGGUCUGUCAAGUCGGAUGUGAAAUCCCCGGGCUCAACCUGGGAACUGCAUUCGAAACUGGCAGGCUAGAGUCUUGUAGAGGGGGGUAGAAUUCCAGGUGUAGCGGUGAAAUGCGUAGAGAUCUGGAGGAAUACCGGUGGCGAAGGCGGCCCCCUGGACAAAGACUGACGCUCAGGUGCGAAAGCGUGGGGAGCAAACAGGAUUAGAUACCCUGGUAGUCCACGCCGUAAACGAUGUCGACUUGGAGGUUGUGCCCUUGAGGCGUGGCUUCCGGAGCUAACGCGUUAAGUCGACCGCCUGGGGAGUACGGCCGCAAGGUUAAAACUCAAAUGAAUUGACGGGGGCCCGCACAAGCGGUGGAGCAUGUGGUUUAAUUCGAUGCAACGCGAAGAACCUUACCUACUCUUGACAUCCAGAGAACUUUCCAGAGAUGGAUUGGUGCCUUCGGGAACUCUGAGACAGGUGCUGCAUGGCUGUCGUCAGCUCGUGUUGUGAAAUGUUGGGUUAAGUCCCGCAACGAGCGCAACCCUUAUCCUUUGUUGCCAGCGGUUAGGCCGGGAACUCAAAGGAGACUGCCAGUGAUAAACUGGAGGAAGGUGGGGAUGACGUCAAGUCAUCAUGGCCCUUACGAGUAGGGCUACACACGUGCUACAAUGGCGCAUACAAAGAGAAGCGACCUCGCGAGAGCAAGCGGACCUCAUAAAGUGCGUCGUAGUCCGGAUUGGAGUCUGCAACUCGACUCCAUGAAGUCGGAAUCGCUAGUAAUCGUAGAUCAGAAUGCUACGGUGAAUACGUUCCCGGGCCUUGUACACACCGCCCGUCACACCAUGGGAGUGGGUUGCAAAAGAAGUAGGUAGCUUAACCUUCGGGAGGGCGCUUACCACUUUGUGAUUCAUGACUGGGGUGAAGUCGUAACAAGGUAACCGUAGGGGAACCUGCGGUUGGAUCACCUCCUUA